rnacentral:rRNA from 1 species
AUUGAACGCUGGCGGCAGGCCUAACACAUGCAAGUCGAACGAGUGGCGGACGGGUGAGUAAUGUCUGGGAAACUGCCUGAUGGAGGGGGAUAACUACUGGAAACGGUAGCUAAUACCGCAUACCAUCAGAUGUGCCCAGAUGGGAUUAGCUUGUUGGUGGGGUAACGGCUCACCAAGGCGACGAUCCCUAGCUGGUCUGAGAGGAUGACCAGCUACAAUGGAACUGGGACACGGUCCAGACUACUACGGGAGGCAGCAGUGGGGAUGAUUGCACCAUGGGCACAAGCGUGAUGCAGCCAUGCAGCGGUUAUGAAGAAGGCCUUCGGGUUGUAAAGUACUUUCAGCGGGGAGGCGUUACCCGCAGAAGAAGCACCGGCUAACUCCGUGCAAGCCGCCGCGGUAAUAC